AGAAACGUUAACAGGUUAACGUUUCUGCAUUUCUGCUUUCUGGGGGGAAAACCUUACGUGGGUAACGUUUUCACUUUCAAACACAAUGCUUCGCGGCAGUUUUUGUCGAAAUUCUCUGAUUAAACACAAUGUACUUUGAAAGUCAGCCAUGUUUUUCCACCGCAUCUACGGGCAUUGGCUUCACGUACCCGCAACAGCUGAGGACAAUGAGGCCGGUCUGUUUGUAAGCAUAAAACAAAGAACCCAUCAUCUCUACCAUCAGACUGGUAUGUUAAAAAGACUUUGGCAGAAUUGAUUCCCUCGACGAAAUUUUGGCAGCGGAAAAGUCACACCUGGCCUUGGGAAUUGCAUGGCAGUGGCUGCCCUUUGGGACUUGCUGAGGAGGGAUACAGUGGACUACAUUGUGUCGUACAGAGGAGAAUCAGUGAGCUCAGAUCCCACCAGGACAGUGUCAGAGACACAUACAGUCGCAUUAUAGGCCUGGAUGCCACUAUUCUAGAUGAGGACAUUGAGAAUGAAGAUUUUGAAAGCAGCCAAUGUGACAGUACAGGGGAAGAGGAAGAGGAACCAUAGCAGAACUGACUGUGUGUUUGGCUUAGCUGGAUGUUUACUUUAAAUAAAAUAAAGU